GUGCGAGUGUACUUCUACCACCGAGGCAGCAUGAGGCAGGCCAGGGUGAUGGACAUUCUCAGGAUUUCUGGAACUAUUUUCAUCAAGCCGAAGGAAAGCAGCUGCCACUCAGGAUGUUUCCGUUUUCCCAUGGACAACAUAUUGAAGUGUUUUACUAAUCACAAGCUUCUUUCUAAAGUUCUGAGAGCUUGCCUGGGCUCUCCUGUUUGGGAGAUGAGGACACUUGGGAUCAUGAUGUGUACCUGACAACUGAUGAUUCUGCAGGAGCACAGCUGCCUGGCAAAUACCGCCAUCAGGGCUCUGGAGUCAAACAUUACUUUUUUUUUUUUUUUUUAAGUUUUGUAUCGUUUUCCCCAAAUGAAAUCCUAAUAUAAUUAUAAUAAUAGCUUGCACUUUUAGAGCACUUACAAUAGGCCAGGAACUAUUCUCAGGACUGUACGUGUAUUAAGUCAUUUAACCAAAGUAAUUUUGUCUUUGUCUUUUCCAAAUAUAAAAAAAAAAAACA